rnacentral:lncRNA from 1 species
CAAUCUCAAAGAUUAAUUGAACUAAGUGAUGGAAGUUCUCUCUUAUCGGGUGGUAUCCCAGGGGCAUAAGCCUAUCAUGGGUCGAUCCCUAUUUAUGUAUUUAUGGGUGGUAUCCCAGGGGCAUAAGCCUAGCAUGGGUCGAUCCCAGUUGAUAUGUACUGGAGGCAGCCUAAUGGUCACAGUACAAUACAGUAAUGAUUACAAAGAUAAUAAGAACGAAGGUAAAGUGAUUGAAUAAAUACAAUGUACAGGUUGUCACAAGUUCUAGUAAGUGUGGUCCACUCCUAUUACUAUUUAUUCACUUGUUUCUGAUUUCUAUUGAGCUCCUAUA